UUGGUAGUCGAAUCUAAAUAAGUCUCUUCCUGAAAUUGUAUAAAAGUCAUGUAGUCUCCUGAACAAACAUGAAAUCAUCAGGUGUUUUAUCCGGCAUUAAAAAAUAGGAAGUAUGAUGUCAGUGAUUACUCAAACUUAUGACAUUUAUAAGGAUUUAGGCAAUACACAAAACACCAUUUUGAUCCUUAACAUUUUGGAAGGACACAAACACUCUGAUACUUUCACCCAUACACAGUUAUUUUAAGCAUGAAAAGUCUAAAAGUUUUCAUCUAUAUCUCCGUUUUUAUUUCACUUUCAAGUGGCUAUAUUCAUCAGGGAGGAUAUUAUCCACCAUACGGUGGAGUGGGCGGUGGCGGAUUCACAUCACAAUUUGGUGGUGGAUUUGGACAAUUUGGUGGUGGAAUUGGACAAUUUGGUGGCGGAUUUUCUCCGUUUCACGACGGAUAUUACGAUGAUGCACAGCAAGUACAUGUACAUUACCACGAGAAUACUGGUGGAUUUGGAAACAUGUUUGGUGGCAUCAACCAACGAGACCUGGUAGCAGGGGGACUGGGGUUGGUACUUGGAAGUGCGAUACAGAGGCGAAGAGGCUAAAAGUACAGAAGAGGUUGUCCCAAGUCACUGUUUACACAACAUCAAACAGCCAUGAUACAUCACAGAAAUAAAAACAAUAGCUGUACAAUA